UAGGGAAUCUUCGGCAAUGGACGGAAGUCUGACCGAGCAACGCCGCGUGAGUGAAGAAGGUUUUCGGAUCGUAAAGCUCUGUUGUAAGAGAAGAACGAGUGUGAGAGUGGAAAGUUCACACUGUGACGGUAUCUUACCAGAAAGGGACGGCUAACUGCGUGCCAGCAGCCGCGGUAAUACGUAGGUCCCGAGCGUUGUCCGGAUUUAUUGGGCGUAAAGCGAGCGCAGGCGGUUAGAUAAGUCUGAAGUUAAAGGCUGUGGCUUAACCAUAGUAGGCUUUGGAAACUGUUUAACUUGAGUGCAAGAGGGGAGAGUGGAAUUCCAUGUGUAGCGGUGAAAUGCGUAGAUAUAUGGAGGAACACCGGUGGCGAAAGCGGCUCUCUGGCUUGUAACUGACGCUGAGGCUCGAAAGCGUGGGGAGCAAACAGGAUUAGAUACCCUGGUAGUCCACGCUGUAAACGAUGAGUGCUAGGUGUUAGACCCUUUCCGGGGUUUAGUGCCGUAGCUAACGCAUUAAGCACUCCGCCUGGGGAGUACGACCGCAAGGUUG
rnacentral:rRNA from 1 species